rnacentral:lncRNA from 1 species
ACAGCAACCACCAACUGUUCUCUCUCUAAUGUUUCUUAUUUUUCUCUUUCCUCCUCAUCUCCUUUAAAUGUGCACAUUCUCUAUUACUUUCUCUUUUUUAAAUGAAUCCCUAUGCAACAGAGGGAGCUCUUUUUUCCGCAAGAUUCUGACUUCAGGUCUGUACUAACAAAUAGCAACUCUGAUUGCCGCUUCGGUUCCCUCUACUAAUUUCGACGUUCGUAUUUCCAGCUCCUUUGAGACAUUUAGACUUGAAAAUCCCUCCCAAAUCUCAAGCUCAACAUGCCCUCAUUGAGCUCAUUUGGUGGGAGAGAGGGAUUUGUUCAAUAGUAUCACAGCUGGCUUCCUCUAGUCGGUACAAAUUGUAUUUCAAUGGCAUGCUGAUCUCCAGGAGAGGCUUGUUUAUGCAGUCAUUCUCCAGGGACACCGG